rnacentral:rRNA from 1 species
CCUACGGGAGGCAGCAGUGAGGAAUAUUGGUCAAUGGCCGCGAGCCUGAACCAGCCAAGUCGCGUGAGGGAAGACGGCCCUACGGGUUGUAAACUUCUUUUGUCAGGGAGCAAGGUGCAGUCCGGGACCUGCUGUGUGAGUACCUUGCGACAAAGCAUCGGCUAACUCCGUGCCAGCAGCCGCGGUAAGACGGAGGGUGCGAGCGUUAUCCGGAUUUAUUGGGUUUAAAGGGAGCGUAGAUGGGUUGUUAAGUCAGUUGUGAAAGUUUGCGGCUCAACCGUAAAAUUGCAAUGGAUACUGGCAGUCUGGAGUACAGUUGAGGUAGGCGGAAUUCGUGGUGUAGCGGUGAAAUGCUUAGAUAUCACGAAGAACCCCGAUUGCGAAGGCAGCUUACUAAACUGUGACUGACAUUGAUGCUCGAAAGUGUGGGUAUCAAACAGGAUUAGAUACCCUAGUAGUC